UGGCUGACUGGGAAUCCCGCAAUGCCGAUUAUCCGCUGUCCUGAUGCCCCCAAAAGAAAAGAAAGCAACAAAGCCUGAAUCGUUAAAGAGAGACGGCGAUCGACCACAAAACAGCAUCAGGAACAGUUUACACCGAUAGCGGGAGUUCUAACAACGCCGCGGCCGGUUCUGCAGAGUGUUUAAAAGACCUUGUGUUGGAUUACUCACACAACAACGACCACGAGACGCAGAAAACAAUAGGUAUCGAGCAAGACGGCAUUUACAGAAAUAGGAAGCGCUUGACCAUAGAGA